AUGCGCCGCAGCGCCUUUGCUAGGGUGGCCAAGACCAAUGCGCUGAGCCAGGACUACUCCCUGGGGACGCAGAAACGUCUCAAGGUAAUGGACUGCGGAAGCCAGGGCACUAUGGUCACCGACAGCACACAGCCAGAGGGAUGGAACUCAGGACCUUGUGCUUGUGAGGCAGGCGGCAGAAGAGACAGGAUUUUUGUACAGCCUCAGUCUCCUCAGAAGAUACCAAGUAAAAAGGGAAAAACAGUAAUUUUUUAUAGGAGGAAUCUGGCAAAACCCAACUUUACCAACUGAUAAAUGUUAAUAUCACCAAUAAUGAGACACAAUGACAUCAUAUCUCUGAUAUGACACAUUAAAAGAGUACACCAUUUCUGUGAUCUUGCCAAAAAUGCACUGUCCAAAUUUAACCAUAAGGAAACAUGAGACUAGCCCCAACUGAAAGACAUUCUACAAAAUAUCAAUAUUAUUCCAAAGGACUAAGGUGAUGAAAGAUGAAGACUAAAGAACUAUCUCAGAUGGGGGAAGACUAAUGAGACAAGACAAAGUAAUAUGGGACCAUGGAUUGGCUCCUGGCACAGAAAAGUACAAAAUGUAAAUUAGUUAAGUUUUUAUUAGUGUAAAUUUCCUGUUUUUCACAAUUGUUCAGGGGCAUCUGAACAAUUGCAAAUUCUUUAUACUAUUUUUACUGGUGGGAGCGAUACGCUAUAGAUAACUAUGGCCAGGCCUAACUCACCUGCUCCUGCAGAGGGCGUGGUGGAGCAAGGCUGUCUUCCUUCCCACCUAUCCACCAGAGAAACAUCAAGCAUUGUCUCCUGCAGACCUUAGCCCUUCUCCAGGUUCCAAUCAGGCAUCCCCUUUCGGUUUCCUUAUCUGCACUAUAAAUAAAGGUGCUGAGGAUGCAAGCCAAGCUUUUUGUCUCAUCAUUUUCCGCCUGGCCUCAGCUAUGUAAACUUUACUGUCCUCUUUGUCUUCUUGGUCUUAUUAAGUUUCUUAAUCUCUCACUCACGAGAGUUGUGGCAUGUUCACUAUACAAAAAUAAAAUUUUUUAAACCGAAAAAGAUUAAAAAGGAGAAAACUGGCAAAAAUACCUGGACACAUCAAAAAAGAGGAUAUCCAAAUGGCCAAUAAACACAUGAAAAGGUGCUGAAUAACAUUAUACAUCAAGAAAUCCAAAUUAAAACUAUAAAAUUCCACUGUACAACCAAUAAAAUAGUUAAGAGAUUACAGUAUGAAAUAAUGGAUAGAAUGUGGAGCAACUGGAACUCACACAUUGCUGGUUGGAGUGUAUACUGGAGCAAUCGCAUAAGAAAUGGGUGGUAUCUAUUAAACAUAUAUCUACCUUAUAAUCUGAUGCUAAGUAUUUACCCUACUUUCAUAUAUUUACCAAAAACAUGUUAGGAUGUUCAUGACAACAACAUAAUUUGCAAUAGUCUCAAAUUAGAAACUACUCAAAUGUCCAUCAACAGUGUAACACAUUAAUAUAUUGUAAUAUAUCCUCAAAUAUAAUAAGAACUAAUUAC
rnacentral:lncRNA from 1 species